CCCUUAGAUGUUCUGGGCCGCACGCGCGCUACACUGAUCAGUGCAACAAGCAUCCGUCCUUGGCCGACAGGCCCGGGCAAUCUUUGAACGCUGAUCGUGAUGGGGAUAGACUUUUGCAAUUUUUGGUCUUCAACGAGGAAUUCCUAGUAAACGCAAGUCAUCAGCUUGCAUUGAUUACGUCCCUGCCCUUUGUACACACCGCCCGUCGCACCUACCGAUUGAAUGGUCCGGUGAAUCUUUAGGACUGUGGCUGAGGCCUUGCCUUGUGCGGGUCUGGCCGUGGGAAUUUAGUUAAACCUUACCAUUUAGAGGAAGGUGAAGUCGUAACA
rnacentral:rRNA from 1 species